rnacentral:lncRNA from 10 species
GGCAGAGCCAAAACCGUAACAGCCAGAGCUAGAGACUCCGGCCUGGGGUUCUGGCUCUGUCCCGUAUCAGCUAGGAAACCCAGGGCAAGCUACUUAAACUCUCAGAGGCUCAGCUUUUUCAUGAGCAAACAGGAAAACAGGGCUAAUGAUUAGUCCUUGGCUUAAAAUACAUACCGCGUGUGAAAUUGCAGGUAUAUAAUAGAUUCACUAAAUGAGAGGGCGAGUUAUCAACACUUACUCUCCAAUGCGUCAUCACCCCCAACACUCCUGUGUAUUUCCUGCAAAUAAGGAUCUUCUCCUACAUGGUCAGUCCGAACAACCUUCAGUCACAACUGAGAAGGUCACAUGGUGCAUCACUGCCGCUCAGUCUCCCCAAGCCCAGUGAUUUCUUCACAAUUAGGGAUCUGAGACCCGCAGUAUGGCAGUGACAAGAUCCAAGUCUUGGGACACCUAGCCAGGAGGGAAGAAUUUGAGGGAGAGGUGGAAAAUAUGCGAGGCUGAACUGACCUUCAAGGACAAGAAGGCUGUGUUCAGAUAGACAGAGUUUGUCUUCUGGGAGAGGAGUGGGCUUAUCCAGGAUGAUCCCAAAGGCAGAUUGAGGACCAGUGGGAGGACAUCCUGAGAAAGCAGAUCCAGCUUUAGGCAAGGAAGGACUUCGUAACAGGCAGAGAGCCCAUGUUGGAAACAAGCAGCUCUGCAAGGUGUGGGCCCACUGUCUGACUCCCUGCGGGGCUGCUGCCUUGGAAGAGCCUCCUGCUUAGAGAGGUUCUCCUGCCGCCAGCUGUCUCUCCUGAGUCCUGAGCACCACAUCUCUGGACCGUCUGGAGCCUCCCCUCCCUUGGCUUACUGCUCCCACCACCCUCUCUCUCCACCUUGCAAGAGACACUCUCCCUCAUCCUGGGUCAUCACCCUCUUUAGAGGCGCCGCCUGGCCACGAGGUGGGCAGGAUCUUGGCCUUACUUGAUGCAGUGCACACCUCCAACAGGCAUCAGAUGGAGUGCAGCCGGGAGCAAGAUUCUCAUAGCAAUUACAAAGAUUCACAAGAAAAUGUGCCCUCCACUACACAGCUGUAAUUUACAUGCUUUCAAACUUGAUAUGGAAUGACUGUGGUUUCCCCUGAAAGAAGCAUCACUGAUCUCUGCACAGGAGAAACAAGCACAGGCCCAGACACAAAGCAGAUGUGCAGUGGAGUGUGAAAGAGGCAGCCAACUCACUGGGGAGCUUCAGAGGGAGAUGGCCCAAAUUGCUGGGGCCUAAGAAUCUCCCGGAAUGAAGGAACAGUAGAAAGAACUGGAAGCCAAAUAUGGUGAUAGAGACUCUCAUCAAGGACACUGAGUAAACCAGAAACCUGCUUGGGCUCACGUUCCUUGUCUCUUCUUCUCAGAUCCAGGAAAGGAGCUGUCCAGGACAAUGAGGAUAGGCUGAGGAAAGACAGGCCACGGCCUUGCCUCUGUGCCAGCUCUCAUGGGCCAGGCAGAGUAUCCCAGGACAACUGCCUCCACAACCAGCUCCAUCCUUCAUCAGCAAUUCAGUACCUGAUUAACAAAUCUGUACCCCAGGAGGUUAUGCCAAGUCCAACUUCUUCCAGAGACCACAACAAUAAAUCCAAGCCACUGCUAAUGUCAUUUAUAAGCUGUGGGAUUAAAACAGAGAAGCAAUCAAUUAAUUAAAAUUAGCUCUUUAUUGAAACUAUAAGCAUCUUGCUUCCUAAGAUUCUAGACCAAAUAAGUGACCGCCAAUUCUACUCUUAUAGAAUGAAAGAGUUUGCCAUUUUUAAUGUAAUGAAAUUUUUUCACUCUGAAAUAAGAUUAAUUCAAAA